rnacentral:tRNA from 1 species
GGGAAGCUGGCUCAGUGGUAGAGUGCUUGCCUCACAUGCAUGAGGUCCUGGGUUCGAUUCCUCAGCACCACA